CUCAAGGCCUUAUUAGAAAUUAGGAUUACUCUUUCAAGGCCAUUUAAAUUUAGGAGGCUAAGAUCAAGAAGUUUAGGUUUUUAGCUAUGGAUUUGGUACAAAUUUUGAGUGAUUUGGAGUUUUUAUAAAAGAGAUAUAGGUGUUCAAAGUUAAAGUGUUGGUUUUGUAUCUAUUGUCACUCUUUUGGACAUAACACACGCCUACAAAAAACAAUGAAGGAUCAGCGAUUAGGAUUGAAGAGAAU
rnacentral:lncRNA from 1 species